AUUGAACGCUGGCGGCAGGCCUAACACAUGCAAGUCGAGCGGAUGAAGGGAGCUUGCUCCUGGAUUCAGCGGCGGACGGGUGGGUAAUGCCUAUGAAUCUGCCUGGUAGUUGGGGAUAACGUCCGGAAGCGGGCGCUAAUACCGCAUACGUCCUGAGGUAGAAAGUGGGGGAUCUUCGGACCUCACGCUAUCAGAUGAGCCUAGGUCGGAUUAGCUAGUUGGUGGGGUAAAGGCCUACCAAGGCGACGAUCCGUAACUGGUCUGAGAGGAUGAUCAGUCACACUGGAACUGAGACACGGUCCAGACUCCUACGGGAGGCAGCAGUGGGGAAUAUUGGACAAUGGGCGAAAGCCUGAUCCAGCCAUGCCGCGUGUGUGAAGAAGGUCUUCGGGUUGUAAAGCACUUUACGUGGGGAGGAAGGGCAGUAGGUUAAUACCUUGCUGUUUUGACGUUACCAACAGAAUAAGCACCGGCUAACUUCGUG
rnacentral:rRNA from 1 species